rnacentral:rRNA from 1 species
CCCUUAGAUGUUCCGGGCCGCACGCGCGCUACACUGAUUCAUGCAACGAGUUUUGUCCUUGGCUGAAAGGCCUGGGUAAUCUUUGAACGUGAAUCGUGCUGGGGAUAGAUGAUUGCAAUUAUUCAUCUUCAACGAGGAAUUCCUAGUAAACGCAAGUCAUCAGCUUGCAUUGAUUACGUCCCUGCCCUUUGUACACACCGCCCGUCGCACCUACCGAUUGAAUGGUCCGGUGAAAUCUUCGGAUCUGAGAGAUGUUGGAUUAAUUUCUGACGCCUUUUGGAAAAGUUGCUUAAACCUUAUCAUUUAGAGGAAGGUGAAGUCGUAACA